UACGUAGGGGGCAAGCGUUGUUCGGAAUUACUGGGCGUAAAGCGCACGUAGGCGGAUAUUUAAGUCAGGGGUGAAAUCCCAGAGCUCAACUCUGGAACUGCCUUUGAUACUGGGUAUCUCGAGUAUGGAAGAGGUGAGUGGAAUUCCGAGUGUAGCGGUGAAAUGCGUAGAGAUCCGGAGGAACACCAGUGGCGAAGGCGACACGCUGGGCCGUACCUGACACUGAUGCGCGACAGCAUGGGGAGCAAACAGG
rnacentral:rRNA from 1 species